GGCGGGCGGCUACUACCCUGUGGUGUAUAGGGAUAUCGAAAGCUUGCUUUUGAUUCGUUAGCGGCGGACGGGUGAGUAACACGUGGGCAACCUGCCCUGUAGACGGGGAUAACACCGAGAAAUCGGUGCUAAUACCGGAUAACACGAAAUGUCGCAUGACGUUUCGUUGAAAGACGGCGCAAGCUGUCGCUACAGGAUGGGCCCGCGGCGCAUUAGCUAGUUGGUGAGGUAACGGCUCACCAAGGCGACGAUGCGUAGCCGACCUGAGAGGGUGAUCGGCCACACUGGGACUGAGACACGGCCCAGACUCCUACGGGAGGCAGCAGUAGGGAAUCUUCCGCAAUGGACGAAAGUCUGACGGAGCAACGCCGCGUGAGCGAAGAAGGCCUUCGGGUCGUAAAGCUCUGUUGUUAGGGAAGAACAAGUAACGCAGUAACUGGCGUUACCGUGACGGUACCUAACGAGAAAGCCACGGCUAACUACGUGCCAGCAGCCGCGGUAAUACGUAGGUGGCAAGCGUUGUCCGGAAUUAUUGGGCGUAAAGCGCGCGCAGGCGGUUCCUUAAGUCUGAUGUGAAAGCCCACGGCUCAACCGUGGAGGGCCAUUGGGAAACUGGGGGACUUGAGUGCAGAAGAGGAUAGCGGAUUCCUGG
rnacentral:rRNA from 1 species